ACUAAGAUGGCCAAGUGGUUAAGCUACUGGACUUAAGAUCCAAUGGAUGUAUGUCUACGUGGAUUUGAGCACCACUCCUAGUA
rnacentral:tRNA from 1 species